UUUUAGCCUUGAUUGUAAUGGCACGAAGUAUAAUGGAAAGCAGAUUUGAU
rnacentral:sRNA from 1 species